GAUGAACGCUGGCGGCGUGCCUAAUACAUGCAAGUCGAGCGAACAGAUGAGGAGCUUGCUCCUCUGACGUUAGCGGCGGACGGGUGAGUAACACGUGGAUAACCUACCUAUAAGACUGGGAUAACUUCGGGAAACCGGAGCUAAUACCGGAUAAUAUAUUGAACCGCAUGGUUCAAUAGUGAAAGACGGUUUUGCUGUCACUUAUAGAUGGAUCCGCGCCGCAUUAGCUAGUUGGUAAGGUAACGGCUUACCAAGGCAACGAUGCGUAGCCGACCUGAGAGGGUGAUCGGCCACACUGGAAUUGAGACACGGUCCAGACUCCUACGGGAGGCAGCAGUAGGGAAUCUUCCGCAAAGGGCGAAAGCCUGACGGAGCAACGCCGCGUGAGUGAUGAAGGUCUUCGGAUCGUAAAACUCUGUUAUUAGGGAAGAACAAAUGUGUAAGUAACUAUGCACGUCUUGACGGUACCUAAUCAGAAAGCCACGGCUAACUACGUG
rnacentral:rRNA from 1 species